rnacentral:rRNA from 1 species
CUGCAGCCCGAGUGGUGAUCGAUUUUAUUGAGCCUAAAGCGUCCGUAGCCGGACUAGUAAACCCUUGGGUAAAUUGGGCAGCUUAACUGUCCAAAUUCCGAGAGGACUGCUAGUCUUGGGACCGGGAGAGGUCAGAGGUACUCAAGGGGUAGGGGCUAAAUCCUGUAAUCCUUUGGGGACCACCAGUGGCGAAGGCGUCUGACUAGAACGGAUCCGACGGUAAGGGACGAAACCCUGGGGCGCGAACCGGAUUAGAUACCCGCGUAGUC